CGGGGUGAGUAAUGUCUAGGAAACUGCCUGAUGGAGGGGGGUAACUGCUGGAAACGGUAGCUAAUACCGCAUAACGUCGCAAGACCAAAGAGGGGGACCUUCGGGCCUCUUGCCAUCGGAUGUGCCCAGAUGGGAUUAGCUAGUAGGUGGGGUAACGGCUCACCUAGGCGACGAUCCCUAGCUGGUCUGAGAGGAUGGCCAGCCACACUGGAACUGAGACACGGCCCAG
rnacentral:rRNA from 1 species